UACGGAGGGCGCAAGCGUUGUUAGGAAUUACUGGGCGUAAAGCGCGUGUAGGUGGCUUGGAAAGUCGGGUGUGAAAUCCCGGAGCUCAACGCCGGAACUGCAUCCGAUACUGCCAAGCUCGAGUCUCGGAGAGGAUGGCGGAAUUUCCGGUGUAGAGGUGAAAUUCGUAGAUAUCGGAAGGAACACCAGUGGCGAAGGCGGCCGUCUGGACGAUGACUGACACUGAGACGCGAAAGCGUCGGGAGCAAACAGG
rnacentral:rRNA from 1 species